rfam:Operophtera brumata OBRT01_Sc10452, whole genome shotgun sequence.
CAACCAGUGACGGAGCGGUCAAAUGCAUAUCCGUAUCAAGGAGACUGUCGCGGGUUCGAAUCCCGUCUGGUUGG